UGCAGUCGAGCGGACGUUUUUGAAGCUUGCUUCAAAAACGUUAGCGGCGGACGGGUGAGUAACACGUGGGCAACCUACCUUAUCGACUGGGAUAACUCCGGGAAACCGGGGCUAAUACCGGAUAACAUCUAGCACCUCCUGGUGCCGGAUUAAAAGAGGGCUUCUUGCUCUCACGAUGAGAUGGGCCCGCGGCGCAUUAGCUAGUUGGAGAGGUAACGGCUCCCCAAGGCGACGAUGCGUAGCCGACCUGAGAGGGUGAUCGGCCACACUGGGACUGAGACACGGCCCAGACUCCUACGGGAGGCAGCAGUAGGGAAUCUUCCGCAAUGGACGAAAGUCUGACGGAGCAACGCCGCGUGAGUGAUGAAGGGUUUCGGCUCGUAAAGCUCUGUUAUGAGGGAAGAACACGUACCGUUCGAAUAGGGCGGUACCUUGACGGUACCUCAUCAGAAAGCCACGGCUAACUACGUGCCAGCAGCCGCGGUAAUACGUAGGUGGCAAGCGUUGUCCGGAAUUAUUGGGCGUAAAGCGCGCGCAGGCGGCCUUUUAAGUCUGAUGUGAAAUCUUGCGGCUCAACCGCAAGCGGCCAUUGGAAACUGGGAGGCUUGAGUACAGAAGAGGAGAGUGGAAUUCCACGUGUAGCGGUGAAAUGCGUAGA
rnacentral:rRNA from 1 species